AUUUAAAUAGUUUAUAUAAAAUAUUAAUUUGUGGAAUUAAAGAAAUUAGUUAAAAGUUUUAAAUA
rnacentral:tRNA from 1 species